GACAGAGGGUGCAAACGUUGUUCGGAAUUACUGGGCGUAAAGCGCGUGUAGGCGGCCAUGCAAGUCGGAUGUGAAAGCCCUCGGCUCAACCGGGGAAGUGCACUCGAAACUGCAAGGCUAGAGUCUCGGAGAGGAUCGUGGAAUUCUCGGUGUAGAGGUGAAAUUCGUAGAUAUCGGAAGGAACACCGGUGGCGAAAGCGGCGCGCUGGACCUCUUCUGACGCUGAGGCGCGAAAGCCAGGGAGCGAACGGG
rnacentral:rRNA from 1 species